CGGGCGGUGUACUGCCAGGUCGCGUCGCGGUCCAGGAGCGCCUGGUCACCGAAGUACGCGCCGUCGGCGAGGACUUCGAGCACCGUCUCGUCCCCGUAGGGACCGGCGCCGACCUUCUCCACCUUGCCGUGUGCCAGCAGAUAGACCUUGUCCGAGACGUCGCCGGCCGUGGCCAGCGUCUGGCCGGCCGCGAACUCCUGCUGCUCGCAGCGGUUGGCCAGCUCGGUGAGCGCCUCCUCGUCGUCGUAAUCACGCAGCGCCGGCAAUUCCCCCAGCUCCGCGGGGAUGACCGUGACCCUCGUACCGGUCUGCACGAACGCGACGCGUCCGUCACCGACCGCGUAGCUGAGCCGGCGGUUCACCCGGUAGGUGCCACCCUGCACCUGCACCCACGGCAGCAUCCGCAGCAGCCACCGCGAGGUGGUCUCCUGCAUCUGCGGUACCGACUUGGUGGUGGUCGCCAGGUUCCGCGCGGCGGCCGUGCCCAGGCUCUGCUGAGGCGGCACUU
rnacentral:antisense_RNA from 1 species